rnacentral:rRNA from 1 species
GAUGAACGCUGGCGGCGUGCUUAACACAUGCAAGUCGAACGAUGAAGCCCAGCUUUCUGGGUGGUUUCGUGGCCAACGGGUGAGUAACACGUGAGUAACCUGCCCUUGUCUCUGGGUUAAGUCUGGUAAACUGGGUCUAAUACUUGAUAUGACUUCUCUUCGCCUGGUUGGGGGUGUAAUGAUUUAUUGGUAUUGGAUGGACUCGAGGCCUAUCAGCUCGUUGGUGAGGUAAUGGCUCACGAAGGCCACGCCGGGUAGCCGACCUGUGAGGGUGAACAGCGACAAGGGGACUGAGAGACGGAGCAGAAGCGAACGGGAGGCAGCAGUGGGGAACAUGGCACAAUGGGCGCAAGCCAGAUGCAGAGACGCCGGGUGAGGGAUGAAGGGCUAUGGGUUGUAAACAAAUGUGAGUAGGGAAGAAGAGAGAGUGACGGUACCUGCAGAAGAAGCGACGGCUAACUACGUG